CUUGCCUUGGCAGGACAUAUUAAAACUGGAACUAUAUAGAGAAAUUAGCAUGACUCCUGCAAAAGGGUGACAUGCAAAUUCAUGAAGCAUUCUAUACUUUU
ensembl:snRNA U6 U6 spliceosomal RNA